rnacentral:rRNA from 1 species
CCUACGGGAGGCUGCAGUGGGGGAUAUUGCACAAUGGGGGAAACCCUGAUGCAGCGACGCCGCGUGUGGGAAGACGGUCCUCUGGAUUGUAAACCACUGUCCCCAGGGACGAAGAUGACGGUACCUGGGGAGGAAGCUCCGGCUAACUACGUGCCAGCAGCCGCGGUAAUACGUAGGGAGCGAGCGUUGUCCGGAAUUACUGGGUGUAAAGGGAGCGUAGGCGGGGAUGCAAGUUGGGGGUCAAAACUACCGGCUCAACUGGUAGUCGCACUCAAAACUGCAGCUCUUGAGUGAAGUAGAGGCAGGCGGAAUUCCUAGUGUAGCGGUGAAAUGCGUAGAUAUUAGGAGGAACACCAGUGGCGAAGGCGGCCUGCUGGGCUUUUACUGACGCUCAUGCACGAAAGCGUGGGUAUCGAGCAGGAUUAGAUACCCCAGUAGUC